CACGGGACAGAGCAAGGAAGGUCCCCCAGUUACUCUGACACUCCUCCCGAUGGUGACAUCAUUCCUCCUUGCUCGGGGUGGUGGUGGAGGGAGAAUCCUUAAGCCACGCUACCCUGUGUUUUCCCCUUCAGUACGCCAUGGGAGAAUGAGCCAGAAUCUGCAGAGACCAGUGUGAUGUGGAUCACGAGAAAGGGAAGAGGCCAAUCGAGUUGUGUUCCCUGGGGCUGCGUAGCUCAGCCUUCAGUCCAGUAUACCUGAAGGAGCAUCUCCACCCCCAUCGUUCUGCCCAGACACUGAGGUCCAGCGCCGAGGGCCUUCUGGUGGUUCCCUCCCUGCAAGAAGCCAAGUUACAGAGAACCAGGCAGAGGGCCUUCUCGGUGGUGGCACCCGCCCUGUGGAACGCCCUCCCGUCAGAUGUCAAAGAGAAGAACAACUACCAGACUUUUAGAAGACAUCUGAAGGCAGCCCUGUUUAGGGAAGCUUUUAAUGUUUGAUGCAUUACGGUAUUUUAAUAUUUUGUUGGAAGCCGCCCAGAGUGGCUGGGGAAGCCCAGCCAGAUGGGCAGGGUAUAAAUUAAAAAUUAUUAUUAUUAUUAUUAUUAUUAUUAUUAUUAUUAUUAUUAAAGUGCUGCGGGAGGCCAGUUUGGGGAAAGCUGCUUUGCAGCGUUGGUUUCUUCUGCAGGCAAAAGCAAACUCUUGCUCUGCU